rnacentral:lncRNA from 1 species
CAACCAAGUAACUACCAUACUACUGAAUCUACUGUAAACUGAAUUCCCAAUUGAUGAAAAAAUUCUGUAUGGAAUGGAGAAAAAAACAGAGUUGUAUAGAGAAGACUCGAGAGAGGAACAUAGAAUCUGUGAAAUUGUAUAAGAGCACUGGUGAGUUAAACAAAUGCAGAGUUCGACGAACUCCAACGAAUGCUCACCUAAGCUUAGAAAGAGAGAAUCAAGCCAAAUAAAUAGGGUGCUCUAUUGUAAAAAAUGUUUUACUACAAUUAAAAUGCAAAGAAUAAUGAAGAAGCAAGAGGGAGAAGAUAAAAUGCAGAAAAAAAUCACUUAAUUAUAUGUAAGACGACACAGUCAAUUAACAAUUUAUCUAACCCAAAAGAAAAUAACAUAAGAAGAGAACCAAAUGCAAGUAGCAGCUACGAGCAGCAACAAUGAGUUACUGUAAGUAAAUCGUGUUUCCAUGUUUUGAUGUAACCACGUUAAUCAAAAUAGUUACUUCAUGAAUUAUAAACUAAACAUGCUGCUAAGUUACACACACCCAAGUUCAAAAUCUAAAUAACUUAAACCUCUAGCUCUAAAAUAUUAAGAUUCAGAGUAUUGCAAGUAGAAAGGAGAUUCAAGAAAUUGAACACACUGCACCAGCAUUCACAAGGACAUGACCAAAGGAUACUAGCAGCAAGUAGAGUAUGAAUGCAUCAGCGAAAAUGAGCGGAUGAUUUAAUGCUAAUUGCAAAGUGGUUAACAAGUCAAACCAAGCAAGCAGCGAAUUAGGAAGAAGGAACCAUCUUCAGACAAGCAAAUACCAAAAUCCACAACCAAGUCAUUACAAUAAUAGAUGUCGUCAUAAAUUUCUCAGAACCUCAUAUGAAUCUGGCAAAAUCAAAGCGAACGCUAAUAGAUAACGGAAUCAGACAGAGUAAGCCUC